rnacentral:lncRNA from 1 species
GGAAAAAAUAAUAAUAACAAUGAUAACAAUGAUGAUGAUGAUAAUAAUAAUAAUAAUAAUGAUGAUAAUAAUAAUAAUAAUGAUAAUAAUAAUAAUAAUAAUAAUAAUAAUAAUAAUAAUAAUAAUAAUAAUAAUAAUAAUAAUAAUAAUAAUAAUAAUAAUAAAGUCGGAAAGCGCCUAGGCUGCUGAACUGUUGCUGCCUGGCCCCGGGAGAGCCCGGGGGGCUCAGGGCCUGGGCUGGGGGGGCGGCGGGCAGCAGCCCUGAGCCCUGCAGCAGGUCCACGGCGUCAGAGCCAGGGGGGGCUGCUUGGGAAGGACCGCGCUGGGCGAGGAUGAAACACGAGGAAAAGUGCGUCUUUCUCCUGGCUUAGGAAAAGUUGACAUCAACUCAGUUGAAAAGUAGGUUAAUUAGUAGUGUCUGACAGAGCUCCCCAGCAGUGACUUACUUCAGGUGCCGCACAUUACUGCUAUGCUGCUGAAAAAGGCUUUGUUUUCACCUAGCUUUGUAGCCUCGAGUGUCUGAAUAUUGAUUAACUCUGGGUAUUUGGUUUCUUUGAAAUAAAUUCGCAUUAUUCCAAUAAACCUCAUCCUUUAAUGCGGUUAUAUUUUUAAGAUGUAAUUAAAAUAUUAACAGCCCUUUACUACCUGAAGUGUGACCCCUGGCAAUGAAGUCGGUUCCCCGUUUACAGUCAGGGCUUGCUGUUGUCCCUCAGCAAGGGGAUGUGACUGACCGUGGCCAGCAAAUUCCCUCUUGGGGACCUACCCCAGGCAGGGGGUGUUUUUCUCAUAGGAAAAAAUGAAAUAUUUACAUUCCUCAGAGGGUCUUGGCGAGCUCGGCCGAGCCCCAGCCAUAGGAAGCCCGAAAACCUUCCCACUUCCGAAGAUGUCUGGGGAAUCGCCCCGGAGCGCAGCAGCCUCCAGCCUCCCCCUUGGCCCCGCGGGCUGUUGUCGCGCUGAUGGGGUCCGACUCAUGUCGCGACAGGCAUAGUGUCGCGACGGAGGGGCGCGGGGCGCUCUGCGCUGCCCUUCCGCGGGCGCGCACGGCCGCAGCCAGCCCCCAGCCGGGCGAGCAACGUGACACCUUUUGCCUAACGCCAAGCCCGGGAUGCGCUCGGCUUUCCAAAGGCCUCUGGGCUGUGCCAAAGCGUGCUGGCUGCUCUCCCCGCGUUACGACCCCUGGCGAGGCGCAGCUCCUCUCGGAAGAAGAAACCUGGCGGCGAGAGCCCCCCGCAGAAGACGGGCUGGCUAGCUCGGGGGCCGGGCGGCCCCGACCCCAUACGACAACCCCUGAAGCUCCGCGGGAGGGGGAGGAACAAGGGUCGGUCCCCAGGGGCCAGCCGGGGCCCCAAGGAUGA